rnacentral:sRNA from 1 species
CUCUGACAAGCGGGUGGAGCGUGGCUGCCAGCCUUCAGAGACAGAGGGAGCUGCUAAUGUACAAACGGAUCCUCCUCCGCCUGCCUUCGUCUGUCCUCUGCGGCAGCAGCUUCCAGGCAGAACAGCCCAUCACUGCCAGAUGCGAGCAGUUCUUCCACUUGGUCAACUCUGAGAUGAGAAACUUCUGCUCCCUCGGAGGUGCCCUGACACAGGACAUCACUGCCCAUUUCUUCAGGGGCCUCCUGAACGCCUGUCUGCGGAGCAGAGACCCCUCCCUGAUGGUCGACUUCAUAUUGGCCAAGUGCCAGAUGAAAUGCCCCUUAAUUUUGACCUCUGCUCUGUUGUGGUGGCCAAGCCUGGAGCCUGUGCUGCUCUGCCGGUGGAGGAGACACUGCCAGAGCCCGCUGCCCCGGGAACUGCAGAAGAUGCAAGGAGGCCGGCAGUUUGCCAGCGAGUAUGUUUGGGUGGUGAGACGGGGUGUGCCUGCCCAGAUGCACUUCGGGACCUGCUCGAGGUCAUCUCCUAAACACCCUGGCUUACUUGAGAGAAGCGGUGUGGGCAGCCUCUCGUGUGAGCAGGGAGAAAAGAACCGAGUCCUUGUGGUGUGCACCUGUUAUCCCAGCUACUGGGGAGGCUGAGGCAGGAGAAUCACUUGAACCCAGGAGACGGAGUUUCCAGUGAACCGAGAUCACUCCAAUGGCCAAUAGAGCAAGACUCUGUCCA